rnacentral:rRNA from 1 species
GACGAACGCUGGCGGCGUGCCUAAUACAUGCAAGUCGAGCGAGCUGAAUUCAAAGAUCCCUUCGGGGUGACUUGUUGGAUGCUAGCGGCGGAUGGGUGAGUAACACGUGGGCAAUCUGCCCUAAAGACUGGGAUACCACUUGGAAACAGGUGCUAAUACCGGAUAACAACAUGAAUCGCAUGAUUCAAGUUUGAAAGGCGGCGCAAGCUGUCACUUUAGGAUGAGCCCGCGGCGCAUUAGCUAGUUGGUGGGGUAAAGGCCUACCAAGGCAAUGAUGCGUAGCCGAGUUGAGAGACUGAUCGGCCACAUUGGGACUGAGACACGGCCCAA